rnacentral:rRNA from 1 species
AGCGAACGCUGGCGGCAGGCUUAACACAUGCAAGUCGAACGCCCCGCAAGGGGAGUGGCAGACGGGUGAGUAACACGUGGGAACGUACCCUUUGGUUCGGAAUAACUUGGGGAAACUCCAGCUAAUACCGGAUAAGCCCUUAUGGGGAAAGGUUUACUGCCGAAGGAUCGGCCCGCGUCUGAUUAGCUAGUUGGUGGGGUAAUGGCUCACCAAGGCGACGAUCAGUAGCUGGUCUGAGAGGAUGAUCAGCCACACUGGGACUGAGACACGGCCCAGACUCCUACGGGAGGCAGCAGUGGGGAAUAUUGGACAAUGGGGGCAACCCUGAUCCAGCCAUGCCGCGUGAGUGAUGAAGGCCUUAGGGUUGUAAAGCGCUUUUACCCGGGACGAUAAUGACUGAACCGGGAGAAUAAGCCCCGGCUAACUUCGUGCCAGCAGCCGCGGUAA